UGAGAAGCUUGCUUCUCUGAUGUUAGCGGCGGACGGGUGAGUAACACGUGGGUAACCUACCUAUAAGACUGGGAUAACUCCGGGAAACCGGGGCUAAUACCGGAUAAUAUUUUGAACCGCAUGGUUCAAUAGUGAAAGACGGUUUCGGCUGUCACUUAUAGAUGGACCCGCGCCGUAUUAGCUAGUUGGUAAGGUAAUGGCUUACCAAGGCGACGAUACGUAGCCGACCUGAGAGGGUGAUCGGCCACAUUGGUACUG
rnacentral:rRNA from 1 species